AACGAACGCUGGCGGCGUGGAUAAGACAUGCAAGUCGAACGGAAUUACUUUUGUAGCAAUACAGAAGUAAUUCAGUGGCGAACGGGUGCGUAACACGUGGGCAAUCUGCCGAGAAGUGGGGGAUAGCUCGCCGAAAGGCGAAUUAAUACCGCAUGUGGUGAGGGAAGACAUCUUCCUGAAUCCAAAGCCGGGGUAACCUGGCGCUUUUUGAGGAGCCCGCGGCCUAUCAGCNGUUGGUGAGGUAACGGCUCACCAAGGCUUUGACGGGUAGCUGGUCUGAGAGGACGACCAGUCACACUGGAACUGAGACACGGUCCAGACACCUACGGGUGGCAGCAGUCGAGAAUUUUCUCAAUGGGGGAAACCCUGAAGGAGCGACGCCGCGUGGAGGAUGAAGGCUUUCGGGUU
rnacentral:rRNA from 1 species